rnacentral:lncRNA from 1 species
GGAGUUCUACUCAUUCCGACAUAUAUCCAUGUUGUCAUCAUCUGCACUAAAAUGACUCACCACAAAAGCAAACAAAGAUCACAUAACAAAAGCAAACAUAGAUGACACAACAAAAGCAUAAUGAACCUAUUCCCCAAAGACUCCCGAAAGACUCGACCAGCUCUGAUACCACUAAUUGUAACACCCCCUUUUCAGAGAUCGAAAAGAAGAGCGUCACGGUUCUCUACCCAAAUUUAAAUGCUUAAAUACAAGCAAAUACAAUGUUGCUGAUUUAUUUUUCUUAAAAAGAAAGUAAUAAGUGAGAAAUGUACUCUAAUAUAUGAGUACUAUUUUUGUUUCUUUAAAAAUUUCAAAAUACACUUUAUGUAAAUCUAAGGUAAGCCCAUGAAUAAUAUGCAUCACUUAUGUCAAACAAUCAUCAAGAAAUUUCGCUCAAAGAAUUUUCAAAUAUAAAACAUUUCCAUUUCACCUAAGUAUCUUACAAUUUUUCAAUAUGAAAUAAUAAAAGAUAAAUUCCUACAAAAGACUCUAACCCACAAAUAAUCACGAGCUGGUCAAACACCACAGAUGUCUGUCAUCCAGUCCAAUGACGUCAUCAAUACAUAUCAAAGAGAUCUUUCUCUUCAGACUCCAAAGAUAAACUAGAUCACUAAUCAACACUAACGGUCCUUGUAUUAUAAUUAAUGUCUCUCACAAUCACGU